AGAACGAACGCUGGCGGCAUGCCUAAUACAUGCAAGUCGAACGAACUCUUCGGAGUUAGUGGCGCACGGGUGCGUAACGCGUGGGAAUCUGCCCCUUGGUUCGGAAUAACAGUUGGAAACGACUGCUAAUACCGGAUGAUGACGAAAGUCCAAAGAUUUAUCGCCAAGGGAUGAGCCCGCGUAGGAUUAGCUAGUUGGUGAGGUAAAGGCUCACCAAAGGCAACGAUCCUUAGCUGGUCUGAGAGGAUGAUCAGCCACACUGGGACUGAGACACGGCCCAGACUCCUACGGGA
rnacentral:rRNA from 1 species